rnacentral:rRNA from 1 species
AGGACGAACGCUGGCGGCGUGCUUAACACAUGCAAGUCGAGCGGAAAGGCCCUUCGGGGUACUCGAGCGGCGAACGGGUGAGUAACACGUGAGUAAUCUGCCCCUAGCUCUGGGAUAGCUCCGGGAAACCGGGAUUAAUACCAGAUACGACCACUUUAGACAUCUGUUGUGGUGGAAAGAAUUUUGGCUAGGGAUGAGCUCGCGGCCUAUCAGCUUGUGGUGAGGUACGGCUCACCAAGGCGACGACGGGU